rnacentral:tRNA from 1 species
GCCUUCGUGGUGUAGUGGUCUGCAUGUUCGACGCGUAACCGAGAGGUCCGUGGUUCGAUUCCCGGAGAAGGCG